rnacentral:rRNA from 1 species
UACGUAGGGUGCGAGCGUUAAUCGGAAUUACUGGGCGUAAAGCGUGCGCAGGCGGUUAUGCAAGACAGAUGUGAAAUCCCCGGCUCAACCUGGGAACUGCAUUUGUGACUGCAUGGCUGGAGUGCGGCAGAGGGGGAUGGAAUUCCGCGUGUAGCAGUGAAAUGCGUAGAUAUCGCUUGGAACGCCGAAGGUGAAAACAGGUCGCUGGGGAUGUGCCGACGCUGAGACACGAAAGCCAGGGGAGCAAACGGG